AAUAAGUCCUACGUUUAUUGGUUUUGUUUACAAGCUUCAACAUCAAUAAAAUUUCCUGCACAUUUACAGCCUGUAUCGUAAACUACACUGGAAAAAAUACUUUACACACCGUUGUCAGCUCAGUAUUAUGUUAUCCUCUUCAUUCAAGUAAUAUGUAAAUUUUCUCGAAUGUAAAACGAACGACCUACUCUGAACAGUAACCCAAAUAUGGCACUGUGUAUUCGGUUGAAUAGCCAAUCAUUUCAAAUCAAGUUGAGCGGGUCUGCAUCGUUUUUUUUGACGAAGUUUGAAAUCAGCGGUAAUAUUUUGAUACUUCAUCUAGAUUUAAGAAGAUUCUUGCCUUGACAACUGCUCGAACUCCCGGGUUGGCAUGCUCUAAAGGUAUAGUGAAUUCAGUAUGCAGAUUGUUGAAGGGAAAACAUCAAGACAGGGCGAGGAAGACGACAAAACAUGAUUACCCAGAUUUAGGAUCCCAGUGUUCUUUGUCUCAAGCUACUCAGCCUACCAUGAGAAAAUUAAAAGAUCUGUCAUGAAGAAGAGGCGGGUUCUCAACUUUCAUAUUAUAAAUGGCUAAUUCAUAGCUAUUAUUUGUGAUUGCAUUGUGUAUUAAUUUUCAAAAUCAAUUCAUUCUUUGGUGACCAUGUGCAGCGGUUUGUUUCAGACUCAUAAUUUUUUAUAAAAAUAUUGACUAUAUUAAUUUGUCCAUAUGCAGAAAAUGUUAAUCACUGUAUGAA